CCUACGGGAGGCAGCAGUGGGGAAUAUUGCACAAUGGGGGAAACGCUGAUGCAGCAAAGCCGCGUGAAGGAAGACGGUUUUCGGAUUUUAAACUUCUGUUCUUAGUGAAGCAUAAUGACGGUAGCUAAGGGGCAAGCCACGGCUAACUACGAGCCAGCAGCCGCGGUAAAACGCAGGUGGCAAGCGUUGUCCGGAAUUACUGGGUGUAAAGGGAGCGAAGGGGGGAAGCGAAGUCAGCUGUGAAAACUACGGGCUUCACUUGUAGCCUGCAGUUGAAACUGGUUUUCUUGAGUGAAGUAGAGGUACGCGGAAUGCGGGGUGUAGCGGUGAAAUGCGUAGAUAUUCGGAAGAACACCGGUGGCGAAGGCAGCGAACUGG
rnacentral:rRNA from 1 species